CGCGCGUCUUGCAAGGUCUUGCAUUCAUUCAGCAGCCUACCUUCAUCCGUGAUCAGUUUAAAGCUCUGUGACUUCCUUCUCCUCUUCCUUUCCCCAAACUCCAUCUUCGGGGAAGGGGGUGAUUAUAGUCUACAGCUGCGCUACACAUUCAGUCAUCGGAACCUUUUCCUCCGUGCUGAGCCCACAUUCACUUGGUAAACGCUGUGUAUGAUCCAUUCCCGCUGCCAGCAUGAUGCUGGUUCUUCCCUCCCGCCAUGUAAAUAAAUUAAUGACUU